rnacentral:lncRNA from 1 species
ACUAUUCUCUAUUUUUCUGCUGUACACCGUGUUUGUGGGCUAUGGCAACCAAUCCCCUUGGGCUUUCUUUUGCUUUAAUUUGCAUAAACACAGGCAUCAUAUGAAUAUUCAGUGAGUGGCUUUGCAUUAAGUAAGUGCCCUUAAUCAGCUUUUCAGUUCAGUUUUAUUGGUUGCACGCACAGUCAGUUAUUUCAUCCAGAAAAUCUGAGGGCCCUACAAAGCUAACCAGACCAUAGAUGCUGGAUCCGGCCCCAUAAAGGAACAUUUCGGGGGGGGGGGGAAUUUAACCAGUUUGAGCAAACAUGGGUGAAUGGUUAGGGGAAAAUGACAAUUCAUUCAAGGCUCAUCUUUCAGGCCUUAGAAUAUAAUUAUGUUAUUACCAAUGAAGAACUUCACAGAAGAAAUGUAGUAUAA